UACGAAGGGGGCUAGCGUUGUUCGGAGUUACUGGGCGUAAAGGGCGCGUAGGCGGCGCACCAAGUCAGGCGUGAAAGCCCUGGGCUCAACCCGGGAAUUGCGCUUGAGACUGGUGUGCUUGAGUACGGGAGAGGAUAGUGGAAUUCCCAGUGUAGAGGUGAAAUUCGUAGAUAUUGGGAAGAACACCGGUGGCGAAGGCGGCUAUCUGGACGGAUACUGACGCUGAGGAGCGAAAGCGUGGGGAGCGAACAGG
rnacentral:rRNA from 1 species